GACGAACGCUGGCGGCGUGCUUAACACAUGCAAGUCGAGCGGAGCGGCGAACGGGUGAGUAACGAGUGAGUAACUGACCACAUCUAUGGGAAAACAAUUGGAAACGGCUGCUAAUACCGGAUAGUGGGGGAUGACUCGCGUCCUAUCAGCUUGUUGGUGGGGUAGUGGCCUACCAAGGCGACGAAGGGUAGCCGGCCUGAGAGGGCGACAGGCAACCUUGAGCUGAGAUACUGCCCAAACCCCUACGGGAGGCAGCAGUGGUGCAUAAUGCACAAUGGGGGAAACCCUGAUGCAGCAACGCCGCGGGCGGGAUGACUGCCGUCGGGUUGUAAACCGCUUUCAGCCAUGACGCGGUAGUGGCAGAAGAAGCACCGGCUAACUACGUGCCAGCAGCCGCGGUAAUAC
rnacentral:rRNA from 1 species